CUGCCCCAAUUCGCUAGGCAAAAUUUCAACACGUUUUCGACGUGAUGUGACAGUUUCAGCAACGCCAUCACUUGGGUAUUCCCUUCAACACCACAAACAAAAGCCACCAAACUUCACCAUGAUCGACUAUCAAGCUUGAAAAUUCUGAGUUUUGGUGGUUUGCGAUCUAGCCCUUUCUAUUGUAAAUGUCGGCGACCACCACCAUUAUCGAGAAGCCUUCGACAUCUAGAGAAAAGCCCUAGCUUUGGAUUGGAUGUUAGUGCAGCAGUGGCGCAAUGAGGUUCCUGACUACCCAUGGCUUUUUCGACUAAUUUUGCCUUUUUUCAUCCCAACCAACCUCCAACAAAGGUAUAAAACUUACUCCCCUUGUUGUAAGCUACGUUUUGGAAUUGACUGGAUUCUGGCAAAGGUUGGUUGGCGCACCGUCGUGUAUGGCGUGCGUGGCAUGAUGACCUAGUUUGUCUCCGUGUUGAUCCGACAGUUGGAUCAUUAUGGAACUAUAGUAUAUGUUGUUGUUGAAGUAAUGUACUGAUGCUCUAAAGAACUUAUAGAUCUGAAAUCUAAGGUGCGGAUCCAUCAUAUUGGAAUAUUUAUGUUAUUGACCUUAGCAUGAACCAUUUUGAUCGGAGGUUAACUUUUGGUCAACAUGUCCCUAAUCAUUCUAGAAUAUUGAAGUUAGCAUUAUUAGAUAGCUGAUAUAGCCUAGUGGGCCUACCUUGGUUUGUGUGCCAUCCUGGGUGAUGUGCAUCUUAGGUGCAAGUGGCACCUUACCUUCAUUUAAGUGUUUGUUGGGUUUCUCGAUGAAUGUAUUCUAUAAAUAAUAAGCUAAAUAAUGUUUGUAUACUUCGAUAAGUUUUGACUGACUUCUGGGCCUUAAGUUGGCGUGCUUUCGAGAUUGCCUUUGCAUUGGACAUGAGGUGAGUAGUUUGUUUACUGUCUUUAUAUAGAAUACCAAAAUGCGUAUAUGCCUCAAUGUAUGUCCUAUUGAAGUUAGCAUUGCUAUGUAAUAUGACAUAGAGAUAAAGAUACUGGUAAUUAGAAUUUUUAAUAUAACUAGUAAUUAAGGGAAUCCUUUGUGA